ACAGGGGUAGUUAACGGUGGUGGGAGUGUUCUGUUCGGUGGCGCGGGUAACCCAAUAAAAUUCCCCCUGGGGAUUACCGUCGCAAGAUUAAACUCAAAAGAAUUGACGGGGGCCCGCACAAGGGGUGGAGCAUGGGGUUUAAUUCAAAGCUACCCGCUAAACCUUACCAGCUCUUGACAUUCCGGGUUUGGGCAUUGGAGACAUUGUCCUUCAGAUAGGCUGGCCCCAAAAGAGGUGCUGCGUGGCUGUCGUCAUCUCGUGUCGUGAGAUGUUGGGUUAACUCCCGCAACGAGCGCAACCCUCGCUCUUAGUUGCCACCAUUUAGUUGGGCACUCUAAGGGGACUGCCGGUGAUAACCCGAGAAAAAGGUGGGUAUGACGUCAAGUCCUCGUGGCCCUUAAGGGCUGGGCUACACACGUGCUACAGUGGUGGUGACAGUGGGCAGCGAGACAGAGAUGUCGAUCAAAUCUCCAAAGGCGAUCUAAGCUCGGAUUGCACUCGGAAACUCGAGUGCAUGAAGUUGAAAUCGCUAAAAUCGCAGAUCAGCGUGCUGCAGUGAAUACUUUUCCCGGGCCUUGUACACACCCCCCCGUCACACCGUGGGAAGUGGGAUUACAAAAAAAGUGUCGCGU
rnacentral:rRNA from 1 species